CCCCCGCCAGGCCACAGCAUGGUCCCGCCGCUGCUGUGCCGCCGCCAAAGAAGCCGGAUGAUUUCGCAGGGCGCCGAAUCUCGCCCAAGAUCGCCGCCGCCAGGGCCGCGGCCGAGGCUUUCCACAAGAAGCACUCGCCCAACGUACUUCGCGAGCUCACAAUCGGCCUGGCCUUAGGGUUCGCAGGUGGUGCCCUCUGGAAGAUCUAUCACCUCAACUGGAGGAGGCACUGCGAGGAGUUCUACGUUGGGCUGGACAAGGGGAUCUACACCACGGUCGUUCGUCCCAAGACCAAACUCGCAGUAGAAGCUUGAUCCGAUAUAUCGGAGGUUAGCUUUUGUUUCUCUUAAAUUCCAGUCUAUAUCUAUGAACGUUUCGGAAAUCUUGGAGAGCU